rnacentral:rRNA from 1 species
ACGGGAGGCAGCAGUGGGGAAUAUUGCACAAUGGGGGAAACCCUGAUGCAGCGACGCCGCGUGAGUGAAGAAGUAUUUCGGUAUGUAAAGCUCUAUCAGCAGGGAAGAAAAUGACGGUACCUGACUAAGAAGCCCCGGCUAACUACGUGCCAGCAGCCGCGGUAAUACGUAGGGGGCAAGCGUUGUCCGGAAUGACUGGGCGUAAAGGGCGUGUAGGCGGCCGAUUAAGUCUGGAGUGAAAGUCCUGCUUUCAAGGUGGGAAUUGCUUUGGAGACUGGUUGGCUUGAGUGCGGAAGAGGUAAGUGGAAUUCCCAGUGUAGCGGUGAAAUGCGUAGAGAUUGGGAGGAACACCAGUGGCGAAGGCGGCUUACUGGACUGUAACUGACGUUGAGGCUCGAAAGCGUGGGGAGCAAACAGGAUUAGAUACCCUGGUA